CUUGUGUUGAAAAUCUUACUAGUAUAGGACUCAACAGAAAAUAUAUUCCCCAAAUGCCCGUAAGAAUUCCUACUUCAAACCUCAGACUUCAAAUAACUGCCAGAACUACUUGACUGAGCUCUGGAAUGAGUCAUUUUUUUUAGAAGCAGAGGUGGAGCCACUGAGGAAACACAGGUGAGCCCUCCCCAGUGUGUACUCACUGGUCCCCAACAGAAGAACCACUGCCACAUCCACUGAACAGACUCCCAUGGUGGUGGGUUGUGUCACCCCACAAUGUCACUGUUGCUGAGUCCCCAUCGCCUCUGUGUUGUGGAGCAGUUAGAGACACACAGCAGUGUCUGUGAGUAGCUCUGCGUGAAGGACCAUUUUCUAGAUGAGAGGCACAUCUCAACACAGCUCACUGAUCAGAUUCAGCAAUUCCAUUCUGCAUCUUUUCUGAUCACCUCCGUGACCACACAGGACAACCCCAUCAGGGCCCUGUCACCAGGCCCAGUCUAGCUCCAUGAUAACCAAGACACAGGUCCAGAGACAAUCGUCCUACAUUGUGCCUGCAUCUGACCCCCCUUGGUAGGUAGUGACCAGCACAACAUGGAAGAAGCCAGGGCAGCAUGCAGCCAGCUGCUCUGCAGCCCCAAAUGGCUCCUGGGCCUUGCAAGUCAUUCAUAAAGGGAAAGCUGGUCACUUUGAGGUCUCUGAAGGGAAGGGUGAACGUGCAUCCCAACAGCCCUGGCAGCCAGCAGCAUGCCAUAUAUCUUCUCACCCAACCUGUGUGACAGAGGUCCCCUCCUGGGGCACAAGUCCCAUACCUAAAGCAUCCUGUCCCAGUCGGACCUCAUCCUGAGCCCUGGGAGGGGAGGGGUACCAUGGACCUGUUAGUGCUGUCUCAGGGACACCAGACCAACAUCCUGGACAUCAUCCACAUACACAAGGAAGCUCUUACCAAAGUCAUGGAGAGCAGGCAACAUGUGGCAGAAGGGAAGACAGAGGUGCAGAGGCUGAUGACGUCAGAAUCACAGGAACAGGAUUUCUUUGGCCACUUUGGCUGAAAUUCACCACUUCCAUCCAAUUCCAGUGAGAGACAUGGACUCACAGAUGCAGCAUUUCUUGCAACAAGAGAUACUACUUUUUCAAAAAGUCACCCAGGAAUUGAUAGUGUUGAAUGACUCGAUACUCGAUCGUGGACGGUUUCCAGUUCAAGGAUACUUUCUACAGCAGAAUAAUAACACUAGCAAAGAGCUAGUACAAGGAUGGUUUUGUGCUCAACUGAAAUCCAGUUGAAUACAGAAUUGUAUAGGAAACAGUUAAUAUGGUGAUAGAAUAGAAACAGUAGCAAUCGUGAACUAAAUCAUACUAUGAAUGCCUAAACUACUGCUGUAACUUUUGGAAAAAUGAUAAUACCACUUUAUUGCUUUUCGAAGUAUGAAUAUUUUAGUGUAUAUGCUCUAGACUUAAAACUCUAUAAAGAGUCUCAAAGAAGUUGGCUGGAUAAAGCCUGCUGUGGAUGUCUUUAUAUUCAAAGAUUGAUGAUGCAAUUUGAAUAUGUGUCCCCACCGAAUCUCAUGUUGAAUUAUAUUUCCUAAUGUGGAAGGUGGAUCCUGGUAUAAUGUGAUUGAAUUAUGAAGGCAAAUUUCUCAUGAAUGGUUCAGCACCAUCCCCUUGUACCAUCCUCACAAUAAUGAGUAACUUCUCAUGAGAUGUAGUCACUGAAAUCUCUAUAUCACCUCCCCACUCUCCGUGUUUUCCCCUUGCCAUGUGAGACAAUUGAUUCUUUCUUUGCCUUCCAUGAUUAUUGAAAGAUUUCUGAGGCCUAGAAGCAGAAGCACUGUGCUUAGAACCAUGAGCCAAUUAAACCUCUUUUUCAAAAUAAAUCAUACGGGAAAUGGCAAA
rnacentral:lncRNA from 1 species